UACGGGGGGGGCAAGCGUUGUUCGGAAUUACUGGGCGUAAAGGGCUCGUAGGUGGCCAACUCAGUCAGACGUGAAAUCCCUCGGCUUAACCGGGGAACUGCGUCUGAUACUGGAUGGCUUGAGGUUGGGAGAGGGAUGCGGAAUUCCAGGUGUAGCGGUGAAAUGCGUAGAUAUCUGGAGGAACACCGGUGGCGAAGGCGGCAUCCUGGACCGACACUGACACUGAGGAGCGAAAGCCAGGGGAGCAAACGGG
rnacentral:rRNA from 1 species